rnacentral:rRNA from 1 species
AAUAGAUACCCUGGUAGUCCACGCCGUAAACGAUGUGUGCUAGAAGUCGGGAUAACUCGGUUUCGAAGCUAACGCAUUAAGCACACCGCCUGGGGAGUACGGUCGCAAGGCUGAAACUCAAAGAAAUUGACGGGGACCCGCACAAGUGGUGGAGCAUGUGGUUUAAUUCGAUGCAACGCGAUGAACCUUACCAAGACUUGACAUACUCGGCAAAGCUAUAGAGAUAUAGUGGAGGUUAUCCGAUGUACAGGUGGUGCAUGGUUGUCGUCAGCUCGUGUCGUGAGAUGUUGGGUUAAGUCCCGCAACGAGCGCAACCCCUAUCUUUAUUUGCUAACAUUAAGUUGAGGACUAUAGAGAGACUGCCUACGCAAGUAGGAGGAAGGUGGGGAUGACGUCAAAUCAUCAUGCCCCUUAUGUCUUGGGCUACACACGUGCUACAAUGGCCGGUACAAAGGGCUGCAAACUGGUGACAGUAAGCGAAUCCCAUAAAGCCGGUCUAAGUUCGGAUUGAAGUCUGCAACUCGUA